ensembl:lncRNA
CCUGUUGUUUUCCGUGCUCAGUUAGUCCAAACACCACCCAACAAAAACAUGUUGUCCUCACCUCAGGGCCACUGAGAACAUGAGAGAGGCAGGGUACAGAGUAAGACAGGGAACUAUAUGAAGGCCCGAGAGGUAUAUUAAGACAGGGAACUAACUAUAUGAAGGCCAGAGAGGUAUAUUAAGACAGGGAACUAUAUGAAGGCCAGAGAGAUAUAUUAAGACAGGGAACUAUAUGAAGGCCAGAGAGGUAUAUUAAGACAGGGAACUAUAUAAAGGCCAGAGAGGUAUAGUAAGACAGGGAACUAUAUGAAGGCCAGAGAGAUAUAUUAAGACAGGGAACUAUAUGAAGGCCAGAGAGAUAUAUUAAGACAGGGAACUAUAUGAAGGCCAGAGAGAUAUAUUAAGACAGGGAACUAUAUGAAGGCCAGAGAGGUAUAUUAAGACAGGGAACUAUAUAAAGGCCAGAGAGAUAUAUUAAGACAGGGAACUAUAUAAAGGCCAGAGAGGUAUAGUAAGACAGGGAACUAUAUAAAGGCCAGAGAGGUGUAGUAAGACAGGGAACUAUAUGAAGGCCAGAGAGAUAUAUUAAGACAGGGAACUAUAUGAAGGCCAGAGAGGUAUAUUAAGACAGGGAACUAACUAUAUGAAGGCCAGAGAUGUAUAUUAAGACAGGGAACUAUAUGAAGGCCAGAGAGAUAUAUUAAGAC